rnacentral:lncRNA from 1 species
AUUAACUACGAUAACGACGAAGACAUAAAGCAAAACAAAGUGUCGGAGUCAAGCACGAAGGAUUCAUUACGAGUUCGAGAGUUCGACGGAAGUCUAAAGAUUCGUCAGGAAUGCUGCCGGAACUAGCCGAGAAUGAGUAGGGAGCUUGCCGAAGGGUUUUUCGGAAGCUCGCCGGAAGGUUCAUUGGAAGUUCACGGAGCUCGCCGAGAAAGAUCGGAGCUUGCCAAAGAAGCUCGUUGGAAC